GGAAAUAGCUCAGUGGCAGAGCAUAUGUUUAGCAUGCCUGAGGUCCUGGGUUCAAUCCCCAGUACCUCCA
rnacentral:tRNA from 1 species